rnacentral:tRNA from 2 species
GCCCUUGUAGCUUAAGCAAAGCACAACACUGAAGAUGUUGAGAUGGACCGUGGAAAGUUCCAAGAGCA